ACUAUAGUGGGUUGUCAUUUCCUCCUCCAGGGGAUCUUCCUGAUCCAGGGAUGGAACUCAAGUCACCUGCGUUUGCAGGUGGAUUCUUUACCACUAGCACCACCAGGGAAGCCCUUAAUGUUGAGAAAACUAGGUAUAAGAGCCCAGAGGGCUUCAUGAUGUUGACACUCCUCCCCCCGACCCCGACCGUGGGCCAGUGCCGCACCCCAUGAAGAGAAGAGCUGGUAGCCCUCGUAGCAUCAGCAUCCUUGCCGGUAGUACUCCCAAAAGGAAGAGGACGAAGCUGAGCAAACACGCCCAGUCCAGGCUUUCCAGAGCUGCCAAUCAGUGCUGCGGUCCAGGGGGGUCAAAGGUGGAGAGAGGCCAGGAGAUUAUGGGGACCAAGCUUCCUCAAAAAGGAAGGACACAUCAGUUGCAGAGGAGACGCGUCCUGCCAACCCAGUAGCCACAUACGCUAGGUGAAGUAGAAGAAAAUGGAUUCGUGCUACCAUCUAGGAUGUCACUCAGCCAACAUCAGAGUCUCAGGAAUGAAAGAGUACGCGGAGGCGGGCCCACUCUGACGCUGCUGCUCUGCACGGCCGUCCCUUCCUUUCCCACCUCCCCACCUCCCUCCCUCCCCACCUCUUCACAGGCAGUUGCCCCUUGGAUGUUUCUCUCUUCUUUUCUCGAGGCUGGAAAAGCUCUCUUGUGAGCCGAAUUGUGCCCCAUUCCCCACUCCCGGGUUUAUAUGUUUAUAUGUUAUAAACUCCAGGUUUAUAUGAAGUCCUAACCCCCAGGACCUCAGAAUGUGAUCUCAUUU